rnacentral:tRNA from 1 species
GGGGAUUUAGCUCAGUGGUAGAGCGCUUGCCUAGGAAGCGCAAGGCCCUGGAUUCAAUCCCCA